UCCGAACUGCUCUGACCCAGUUUUAGAUUCAAAGAAGAAGAAAGGUCUGCUAACGUUUAUAGAAUCAAUUUCUAUCAACGCCAUUUUCUCAUCUUCUUCCUAUGCUCUAUCUCUGGUUCGCCUACUCUCGCCGCCACAACACGCAUCAGACGCCGCCGCUCCCUGCGUCCGCCGCCGCUCCUCACAUUCUCGGAGGAACGAACUAUCAGUAUCACCACCCUGUUAAAUUUCGCAGAGAAAGAACGAGAACCAGAGCGACCCUUGAUGACACUGAAAUAGGACAACUUUCCUCAACCACACUUCUUGUUGAGGACGACAAACCCAGCAAGGUCCUUGCAAAUUUCCUUUCCAAUCCGUUGGCUUCAGGAGGAGACAGUGAUGCUGCAGGAUGGCCUUAUUUGGCUUUUGAUCUUGACCCCGCACUAGUAAAUGCUGCUAAAAAAGCCGGCUUUCCAAUUCACUAUGGGGAUGGAUCACAUCCUGCUGUUCUUCAGUCGGUCGGUAUCUCUUCUCCAAAAGCUAUUAUGGUUAUGUUCACCGGAAAGGAAAAGACAGCGGAAACUGUUCAGAGGCUACGGUUUACUUACCCUGCAAUCCCAAUCUAUGCCAGAGCUAAAGAUCUUGAGCAUCUUUUAGAUCUGAAGAAAGCAGGUGCAACAGAUGCCGUUUUGGAAAAUGCAGAGAUGAAAUUUUAUGAACUUGUCUAAGAAUACACAAUGCUUAAAUUGUAAUGAAGAUAAGUCAAAGGACGUUGAUCUGCCUACUAAUCAAAUAAGUAAAGGAGAUUGGAUAUGUCCGGGAUGCAGUGUUAUGAAUUUUUCCAAAAAUAUUCAGUGUCUAAAAUGUAAGACAGCAGGGCCGAAGAGGAUCAAUCCAGAUGAAGUUGAAAUGAAAAAAGGAGAUUUACUAUUUUUCAUAUUGUUUUACUAUUUUUGUUAACUGUUACAUUUCUAGGGAAUUUUUAUAGCUUAGGGCUCUUUUGUGAUAGAAAAUGAAUUUUUAUCUCAUUCCUGGAUCCAAGGCGAAUAAAUUAUAUUGACCCCAACCAUAUAACUUAUGCACAUUGAUAACUUCCCACUCA